rnacentral:rRNA from 1 species
CCUGAGAAACGGCUACCACAUCCAAGGAAGGCAGCAGGCGCGCAAAUUACCCACUCCCGGCACGGGGAGGUAGUGACGAAAAAUAACGAUACGGGACUCAUCCGAGGCCCCGUAAUCGGAAUGAGUACACUUUAAAUCCUUUCACGAUUAACAAUUGGAGGGCAAGCCUGGUGCCAGCAGCCGCGGUAACUCCAGCUCCAAUAGCGUAUAUUAAAGUUGUUGCGGUUAAAAAGCUCGUAGUUGAAUCUGUGUCCCACACUGUCGGUUCACCGCUCGCGGUGUCCAACUGGCAUGUCUGUGGGACGUCCUGCCGGUGGGCGCAGCCCCUCAAAAGGCGGCCCAACUCAAAAUCCUACCACGGUGCUCUUCACCGAGUGUCGAGGUGGGCCGGUACGUUUACUUUGAACAAAUUAGAGUGCUUAAAGCAGGCUCAUUCGCCUGAAUAUUCUGUGCAUGGAAUAAUGGAAUAGGACCUCGGUUCUAUUUUGUUGGUUUUCGGAACUCCGAGGUAAUGAUUAAUAGGGACAACUGGGGGCAUUCGUAUUGCGACGUUAGAGGUGAAAUUCUUGGAUCGUCGCAAGACGGACAGAAGCGAAAGCAUUUGCCAAAUGUGUUUUCAUCAAUCAAGAACGAAAGUUAGAGGUUCGAAGGCGAUCAGAUACCGCCCUAGUUCUAACCAUAAACGAUGCCAGCUAGCGAUCCGCCGAAGUUCCUCCGAUGACUCGGCGGGCAGCUUCCGGGAAACCAAAGCUUUUGGGUUCCGGGGGAAGUAUGGUUGCAAAGCUGAAACUUAAAGGAAUUGACGGAAGGGCACCACCAGGAGUGGAGCCUGCGGCUUAAUUUGACUCAACACGGGGAACCUCACCAGGCCCAGACACCGGAAGGAUUGACAGAUUGAGAGCUCUUUCUUGAUUCGGUGGGAGGUGGUGCAUGGCCGUUCUUAGUUGGUGGAGCGAUCUGUCUGCUUUAUUGCGAUAACGAACGAGACUCUAGCCUACUAAAUAGGCGUACUUUCCGGUAUCUCGAAGGCCCGCCGGCUCGGUUUCGGCCGUUGUCGUGUGUGGUUUUUACUACCGGCGUACACAUAUAUCUUCUUAGAGGGACAGGUGGCAUUUAGUCGCACGAGAUUGAGCAAUAACA